GACGAACGCUGGCGGCGUGCUUAACACAUGCAAGUCGAACGAUGAACUUGGAGCUUGCUCUGGGGGAUUAGUGGCGAACGGGUGAGUAACACGUGAGUAACCUGCCCUGGACUCUGGGAUAACUUCGAGAAAUCGGAGCUAAUACCGGAUAGGACCUUGCACCGCAUGGUGUGGGGUGGAAAGUUUUUCGGUUUGGGAUGGACUCGCGGCCUAUCAGCUUGUUGGUGAGGUAAUGGCUCACCAAGGCGUCGACGGGUAGCCGGCCUGAGAGGGUGACCGACCACACUGGGACUGAGACACGGCCCAGACUCCUACGGGAGGCAGCAGUGGGGAAUAUUGCACAAUGGGCGCAAGCCUGAUGCAGCAACGCCGCGUGCGGGAUGACGGCCUUCGGGUUGUAAACCGCUUUUAGUAGGGAAGAAGCCUUCGGGUGACGGUACCUGCAGAAAAAGGACCGGCUAACUACGUGCCAGCAGCCGCCUUAACAC
rnacentral:rRNA from 1 species